rnacentral:rRNA from 1 species
CCUACGGGCGGCAGCAGUGAGGAAUAUUGGUCAAUGGCCGGGAGGCUGAACCAGCCAAGUCGCGUGAGGGAAGACGGCCCUACGGGUUGUAAACCUCUUUUGUCAGGGAGUAAGGUGCAGGUCGGGACCUGCUGUGAGAGUACCUGAAGAAAAAGCCUCGGCUAACUCCGUGCCAGCAGCCGCGGUAAUACGGAGGAUGCGAGCGUUAUCCGGAUUUAUUGGGGUUAAAGGGUGCGCAGGCGGAGGCACAAGUCAGCGGUAAAAUCGCGGGGCUCAACCCCGCUCCGCCGUUGAGACUGUGGCCCUUGAGUGCGCGAAGGGUAGGCGGAAUGCGUGGUGUAGCGGGGAAAUGCAUAGAUAUCACGCAGAACUCCGAUCGCGAAGGCAGCCUACCGGCGCGCAACUGACGCUCAUGCACGAAAGCGUGGGUAUCGAACAGGAUUAGAUACCCUAGUAGUC